rnacentral:lncRNA from 1 species
ACUACAUAUUGUGUCACAACAUAAUUUGCAUACUUGUACAAAAAUAGUUGUACAACUGUCAGAACUAACCAACUUACUUUAAUGGGUCCACCAUACAACAACUUAUCAUUUUUAAAACGUACAUGGCAUUAGAAGAUUAUUUAUAUAACUAUGUCUUUAACAUUAGUAAGAUGGAAACUGGAAAGUCACAAAUCCCGCUAACAUGUUUAACCCCGCC